rnacentral:rRNA from 1 species
GACGAACGCUGGCGGCGUGCUUAACACAUGCAAGUCGAACGGAAAGGCCUGCUUUCCCUUGUGGAUUGCGGGUACUCGAGUGGCGAACGGGUGAGUAACACGUGAGUGAUCUGCCCCCAACUUGGGUAUAAGCCUGGGAAACUGGGUCUAAUUCCCGAUAGGACUGCAGGGUGGUGCCUGUGGUGGAAAACGAUUUUCUAGUGGUUGGGGAUGAGCUCGCGGCCUAUCAGCUUGUUGGUGGGGUAAUGGCCUACCAAGGCGGCGACGGGUAGCCGGCGUGAGAGGGUGGACGGCCACAUUGGGACUGAGAUACGGCCCAGACUCCUGCGGGAGGCAGCAGGGGGGAAUAUUGCACAAUGGGCGGGAGCCUGAUGCCGCGACGCCGCGUGGGGGGUGACGGCCUUCGGGUUGUAAACUCCUUUCGACCGCGAGGAAGCCACCUGGUUGGAAGGGUGGUGACGGUAGUGGUAGAAGAAGCACCGGCUAACUACGUG